CCAAAAGAAUCUGAACGCCAUGAUAUGGUGAAGAAAAAAUGGGUAGUUCAAAGCAUGUAUUUUUAAAAUUUUACAGCAGAAUAAUAAAGGAUUAAAUAUUUUAAUCUUCUAAAUAUACCUUAGAUUAGAUCUAAACUACUAUUAAGGAUCUAUGACAUAAAAAAUUUAUAUAUAAAAUCUGAAAUAAAAUAGAAAACUACAUUGAUCACAUCGAUGUCCUGAAUUUGAUCUAACCUUUAGAUUAUGUCGGUAGAGUUCAGAACUCAUUACCUUUUCGUUGGUUGAUG
rnacentral:lncRNA from 1 species